UUUCAAAACAAGAAGACAAAGCCAAAACGCUUCCGUUUUGGACCAAACACUUCUUGUUCGUGUCCCCUCCUCUUCCCAAGUUCUUGAUUUUGCUCACAAUCUCCAAACACUCGGCAUACUCCUCACGCGCCGCUGCGUUUUGCAAUCUCCGACUUAUCUCCACCGCAUCACGCGGCGUCAACAGCACGCGCGGUGACUGAAUCCGCUCUA